rnacentral:tRNA from 1 species
UUAAUCGAAACCAAAAUAUAGAGGUAUGUCACUGUUAAUGACAAAAUUAGGAAACCCUCGAUUAAA